rnacentral:tRNA from 1 species
CGCGGUGAGGACAAACGGGCAAGUCGCCAGCCCCAUAAGCUGGAGAUAGUGGGUUCAACCCCCACCACCGCAACCA